CUGCGAAUAUUCUCGCUGUUCUGGUUUUAUAAUGAUCAGGGCAGGCUAACCAUUCGCUACAUUAAGACCACGCAUGUGUCCCCAGACCUAGUUCUUUACCUAGUUCUGGCUAUCUAAAUGCGGGUGAUAAAC
rnacentral:snoRNA from 12 species